CGGGGUAAAGCUUUUUGAAGCAUUUUAUUUACAUUAAAGAGAUUAUCAAUUAUAUUGGUAUACCUUAA
rnacentral:tRNA from 1 species